AUUGAACGCUGGCGGCAGGCUUAACACAUGCAAGUCGAGCGGAGUGAUGGUGCUUGCACUAUCACUUAGCGGCGGACGGGUGAGUAAUGCUUAGGAAUCUGCCUAUUAGUGGGGGACAACAUCUCGAAAGGGAUGCUAAUACCGCAUACGUCCUACGGGAGAAAGCAGGGGAUCACUUGUGACCUGGCGCUAAUGGAUGAGCUUAAGUCGGAUUAGCUAGUUGGUGGGGUAAAUGCCUACCAAGGGGACGAUCUGUAGCGGGUCUGAGAGGAUGCUCCGCCACACUGGGACUGAGACACGGCACAAACUCCUACGGUAGGCAGCAGUGGGGAAUAUUGGACAAUGGGGGGAACCCUGAUCCAGCCAUGCCGCGUGUGUGAAGAAGGCCUUAUGGUUGUAAAGCACUUUAAGCGAGGAGGAGGCUCUUUUGGUUAAUACCCAAGAUGAGUGGACGUUACUCGCAGAAUAAGCACCGGCUAACUCUGUGCCAGCCGCCGCGGUAA
rnacentral:rRNA from 1 species